rnacentral:rRNA from 1 species
AUUGAACGCUGGCGGCAGGCCUAACACAUGCAAGUCGAGCGAGCGGCGGACGGGUGAGUAAUGUAUGGGGAUCUGCCUGAUCGAGGGGGAUAAGUACUGGAAACCGUGGCUAAUACCGCACACUACCGGAUGAGCCCUUAUGGGAUUAGCUAGUAGGUGGGGUAAAGGCUCACAUAGGCGACGAUCUCUAGCUGGUCUGAGAGGAUGAUCAGCCACACUGUGACUGAGACACGGCCCAGACUCCUACGGGAGGCAGCAGUGGGGAAUAUUGGCCGAUGGGCGCAAGCCUGAUGCAGCCACGCCGCGUGUAUGAAGAAGGCCUUCGGGUUGUAAAGCACUUGCAGCGGGGAGGCGUUACCCGAAGAAGAAGCACCGGCUAACUCCGUGCCAGCAGCCGCGGUAAUAC